AUUGAACGCUGGCGGCAUGCCUUACACAUGCAAGUCGAACGGCAGCACGGGAGCAAUCCUGGUGGCGAGUGGCGAACGGGUGAGUAAAGUAUCGGAACGUGCCCAGUCGUGGGGGAUAACGUAGCGAAAGUUACGCUAAUACCGCAUACGAUCUAUGGAUGAAAGCGGGGGAUCGCAAGACCUCGCGCGAUUGGAGCGGCCGAUAUCAGAUUAGGUAGGUGGUGGGGGAAAGGCUCACCAAGCCGACGAUCUGUAGCUGGUCUGAGAGGACGACCAGCCACACUGGGACUGAGACACGGCCCAGACUCCUACGGGAGGCAGCAGUGGGGAAUUUUGGACAAGGGGCGAAAGCCUGAUCCAGCCAUGCCGCGUGCAGGAUGAAGGCCUUCGGGUUGUAAACUGCUUUUGUACGGAACGAAAAGGUUUGGCCUAAUAAGCUGAGCUCAUGACGGUACCGUAAGAAUAAGCACCGGCUAACUACGUGCCAGCCGCCGCCGUAA
rnacentral:rRNA from 1 species